GGCGAAGCCUGACCGAGCACGCCGCGUGAGCGAUGAAGGCCUUCGGGUCGUAAAGCUCUGUUGUCAGGGAAGAACAAGUAUCGGAGUCACUGCCGGUACCUUGACGGUACCUGACCAGAAAGCCACGGCUAACUACGUGCCAGCAGCCGCGGUAAUACGUAGGUGGCAAGCGUUAUCCGGAAUUAUUGGGCGUAAAGCGCGCGCAGGCGGUCCUUUAAGUCUGAUGUGAAAGCCCACGGCUCAACCGUGGAGGGUCAUUGGAAACUGGGGGACUUGAGUGCAGAAGAGGAGAGCGGAAUUCCACGUGUAGCGGUGAAAUGCGUAGAGAUGUGGAGGAACACCAGUGGCGAAGGCGGCUCUCUGGUCUGUAACUGACGCUGAGGCGCGAAAGCGUGGGGAGCGAACAGGAUUAGAUACCCUGGUAGUCCACGCCGUAAACGAUGAGUGCUAAGUGUUAGAGGGUUUCCGCCCUUUAGUGCUGCAGCAAACGCAUUAAGCACUCCGCCUGGGGAGUACGGUCGCAAGACUGAAACUCAA
rnacentral:rRNA from 1 species